GGCCAAGAUGGCUCAGUUGGCAGAGCGGCGCACUCGUAAUGCGCAGGUCCGGGGUUCGAUUCCCCGUCUUGGCUU
rnacentral:tRNA from 1 species